CACAACCCUUGAAGAUUUAAAAUAUAAUCCAGUAGUGUAGAAUGAAAGAAUAUCUUUCAAUAUUCGGUUUCUAUGGCUUACAACAUUAUCUUUCACUAUUGGGUUCGUUGGUACUAAUUCCACUUGUGAUUGUUCCGGCAAUGCGUGUCACCUGCGAGAGCACUUAAUUUAGAGCAUAUUAUGAAGGAGAUGCAGGGAGCCAUAAUAUUUGCUGCAGCUUUUCAUGAAAUACUUGGAUACAGUGGGAUUGCAAUGAUAUUUUUGAACAGCAGAUAGUCACAUAUGGAAAGCAGAGCUCAAAAUCAUUAAAAAGGUCAAAGUCAAGGCAUCAUAAGAAGUG